GUUUAUUUGUUUAUUUAAAAGGAUCCCCAUUAGCUGACGCCAAAACUUCAGCUAGUCUUCCUGGGGUCCAGACAAUAAAAUACAAAGGCAAACAUUACAAUAUCAGCUCAUAAAAUACAUAUUUUUAAAUAAAAUUUACAAAUAAA